UACGUAGGGGGCUAGCGUUGUCCGGAAUCAUUGGGCGUAAAGCGCGUGUAGGCGGUCCUGUAAGUCCGCUGUGAAAGUCGGGGGCUCAACCCUCGGAUGCCGGUGGAUACUGUCGGGCUUGAGUACGGAAGAGGCGAGUGGAAUUCCUGGUGUAGCGGUGGAAUGCGCAGAUAUCAGGAAGAACACCAACGGCGAAGGCAGCUCGCUGGGACGGUACUGACGCUGAGACGCGAAAGCGUGGGGAGCGAACAGG
rnacentral:rRNA from 1 species